CGCAGUCUGAUGGAGCACGCCGCGUGAGUGAAGAAGGCUUUCGGGUCGUAAAACUCUGUUGUUGGAGAAGAAUGGUCGGCAGAGUAACUGUUGUCGGCGUGACGGUAUCCAACCAGAAAGCCACGGCUAACUACGUGCCAGCAGCCGCGGUAAUACGUAGGUGGCAAGCGUUAUCCGGAUUUAUUGGGCGUAAAGCGAGCGCAGGCGGUUUUUUAAGUCUGAUGUGAAAGCCCUCGGCUUAACCGAGGAAGUGCAUCGGAAACUGGGAAACUUGAGUGCAGAAGAGGACAGUGGAACUCCAUGUGUAGCGGUGAAAUGCGUAGAUAUAUGGAAGAACACCAGUGGCGAAGGCGGCUGUCUGGUCUGUAACUGACGCUGAGGCUCGAAAGCAUGGGUAGCGAACAGGAUUAGAUACC
rnacentral:rRNA from 1 species